rnacentral:lncRNA from 1 species
UUUCCUCUAAAGAUGGAAUCUAAUGGGUUCCGUUGGAAUUAAGAAGAGGGAGGCGUCAUGCUGACCGCAGGCAGGUUUCCAAUCACCGCGUCUCCAGGCGGCUGUUUUGGGGGCAUCGUCCGGGAUUGCAAACUUCUGCUGAGGGCAACCCACGAGCAGCGAGGAACCCAACAAAGGGAGCGACUGUCCUAGGCCUAAGGGACCCACUGGUGACCAAGACCGAGCAAAAGUUAGGGCUGGCCCAUCCCGCGGUCCACGGAUCGACUCGGACGGAAUACUCCAUCGCCACAGAGAGGUCUUCAACGAACAUUGAAGGAGGUGCAUCAGCAGGUGCGGCAGGACCAGCGAACCCCCAACCGGGAAGACACGCUGAAGCUGCUCCCAGGCAAUUGGGUUCUCAUCCUUGACGUACGGAGGAAACAUUGGAACCAGCCCCGGUGGAGAGGCCCUCGGCAACUUCUGCUGUCCACGCCCCACGCUGUGAAAAUAGAAGGCAUCGACUCGUGGACUCACGUACCUACUGCCGGACAGUAGCAGACCCGGUGGCACCAUGAAUAAACUCCAAGCACCUUGGAAGCCUUUCCGCA